CGUGUAGGCGGUCGGGUAAGUCAGAUGUGAAAGCCUUCUGCUCAACAGAAGAAGUGCAUUUGAAACUGCUCGGCUGGAGUACGGGAGAGGAGAGUGGAAUUCCCGGUGUAGAGGUGAAAUUCGUAGAUAUCGGGAGGAACACCAGUGGCGAAGGCGGCUCUCUGGUCCGAUACUGACGCUGAGACGCGAAAGCGUGGGGAGCAAACAGGAUUAGAUACCCUGGUAGUCCACGCCGUAAACGAUGGGCACUAGGUGCAGGAGGUAUUGACCCCUUCUGUGCCGAAGCUAACGCAUUAAGUGCCCCGCCUGGGGAGUACGGCCGCAAGGCUAAA
rnacentral:rRNA from 1 species